rnacentral:misc_RNA from 1 species
GAUGAAGAACGUAGCGAAAUGCGAUAAGUAGUGUGAAUUGCAGAAUUCAGUGAAUCAUCGAAUCUUUGAACGCACAUUGCGCCCCUUGGUAUUCCAUGGGGCAUGCCUGUUCGAGCAUCAUUUGUACCUUCAAGCUCUGCUUGGUGUUGGGUGUUUGUCUCGCCUCUGCGUGUAGACUCGCCUCAAAACAAUUGGCAGCCGGCGUAUUGAUUUCGGAGCACAGUACAUCUCGCGCUUUGCACUCAUAACGACGACGUCCAAAAGUACAUUUUACACUCUUGACCUCGGAUCAGGUAGGGAUACCCGCUGAACUUAAGCAUAUCAAUAAGCGGAGGA